UGGGGAAUAUUGCACAAUGGGCGCAAGCCUGAUGCAGCCAUGCCGCGUGUAUGCAGAAGGCCUUCGGGUUGUAAAGUACUUUCAGCGGGGAGGAAGGCGAUAAGGUUAAUAACCUUGUCGAUUGACGUUACCCGCAGAAGAAGCACCGGCUAACUCCGUGCCAGCAGCCGCGGUAAUACGGAGGGUGCAAGCGUUAAUCGGAAUUACUGGGCGUAAAGCGCACGCAGGCGGUCUGUCAAGUCGGAUGUGAAAUCCCCGGGCUCAACCUGGGAACUGCAUUCGAAACUGGCAGGCUAGAGUCUUGUAGAGGGGGGUAGAAUUCCAGGUGUAGCGGUGAAAUGCGUAGAGAUCUGGAGGAAUACCGGUGGCGAAGGCGGCCCCCUGGACAAAGACUGACGCUCAGGUGCGAAAGCGUGGGGAGCAAACA
rnacentral:rRNA from 1 species